CCACACUGGUCUUCUUCCCAUUCCUCCAGUACAUCACACUCUCCCACAUAUCUCUGCUAUAAGCAGUUUUUAUGAUUGGAAUUCUCUUGGCUUCCCUCUUCCUUAUUAUUUUCAAUGUCUGCUCAUUCUCAUCCUUCAUAUCUCAAGUCUCAUAUUGUCUCACCUCCUCAAAGCUGCUUUUUGAAGAAUGCUAUAAAAGGUUUCUGAUCAAGAAUCAGAAGAAGCAUCAAGAAUCUAGUUUGGGUGGACUCCGACCAGCUCCUCUGUCAGCAUUUUUUGACGCAGUUCAGAGCAAAUAAUACCCAAAUCUUAUGGCUUACGAAAACUGGUGAAACUGAAAUAAGGCUUGAUGACAAUGCAAUGCAAUUUGGACACAGUUUCUGAGACGCCAAUUCUAGACGGCCUUUAUAGACUGCAAUUAUAAUCCAAGCGGAAUAGGACAGAAGAAACCUUUAUACCUCAUUAGAACCUGGGAGAUGAUAAGAAAUUGAGGAAUUACAGCCUCUCAUGGAAUAUAAGGAGGUUUCUCCAUGGGGAAGACAGCAUCCACUUUUUAAAGCCUUUGGCCUCAAAGGGACAUAAAGUUUUUAAGGAGAAACUGCAUUUUUGUCAAACCCAGGUUUGUUAUUUGGGGCACAUGACCCAAAUGGGCUUCAUGGUAUUGUGAAUUUCCAACCCAAAAUCAAAUACUGGCUAUUGCUGAAAGUGGGUUGUCUGGCUAUUGUUGAAACUGGAUUCCAAAAUUUUCUCUCAUGGCUAGGUCUUUAUAUGCCUUACUAAGAACAUCAAAUCUGACUCUAUUACUUGGGAAGAUUAGGAUAACCUAGCUAUUAAUACCUUAAAGAAUAGCUUGAAAAAUCUUUCUGUCACUGGACUCCCUAAUUAUCAAAUUCCCUUUUUUGCUUUUCAUAUAUGAGAAGAAAGGAUGUACUUUUGGACUACUUACCCAAAAUCAUGGGGAUCACUAUUGCCCCAUAGACUACCACAGUCAGCAGCUAGACCCUGUGACAUGGGGAUAUCUCCUUUCCUCAGAACCAUUCCUGCUAUUGUCCUCUAAGUUAGGGCCAUUGAAGAAAUAGUGGUGAUAUCCCUCGUAGCCAUUUUUGUAACCCAUUCAGUUAAAGCCCUCCAGAAUUCUCAUCAUACUCAAUACCAUUUGGCCAGCAAUUUAAACUCCUAUGCAAUCCUCUCACAGUUCUUUCUCACUGUAAUAACUUCAACACUGCCACACAUCUUUUCUGUUCAGAAUAUAAUACUCUUGAUAACUGUUGGCCAGGACACAUGGUCUUUAGACCCCUGGAGAUGAUUCAUGGGAAACUCCUCUAACCAAUGCUGAGUUUUCAUAGUUUACUGAUGGUUCUUAUUUAAAGGGAAAAAAAAUAGUAAAUAUUAUGCUGUAUAUUCAGUUACAACUACUUUCAAAGGAGGCUCUCAGCUAGUGAGAAGCUGUAACAACCUGGAACUCUUACUUUCUUCUCCAAAGAACUUUUCCCAAAUGGCCCUUCUCAACUUCUUCCUUUCCUUUGUAAGAGAACUCUGCUCUCCUUUUUCUUUGAAUUUACCUUUUUUUGCCAUAGUUUGAAUGUCACUAAUUGUAAUUCCUUUGCUAUUUCUGAAUAACCUUGAUCUUUCUGACUAAACAAUUUAUCUUUUUGUUUUAAAGGUUGACACAAAAAUAAUCUCUUAUUUUUGUGUGUGAGCUUGUGUGCACCUAAUUUCUCUUCUAAUAAAGUUUCUUUGGGGAAGAAGAAACUUUUCUUUAAUCUUGUAAAUUCUUCUGCUGGUCUAAGAGUUAAAUUGACGUGAGAUAGAUUAACAGGAGAAAAUUAAGCAAAACUUUAAUAAUAUAUAAUACAUUGGAGAGACCCAGGAAAACAGUAACUCAUCAAAAUAGCCAAAACUCUCACCUCAAACACCAUCUUCACCUAAAGACAG